rnacentral:rRNA from 1 species
UACGGAGGGUGCAAGCGUUAUCCGGAUUCACUGGGUUAAAGGGUGCGUAGGUGGGUCUGUAAGUCAGUGGUGAAAUCUCCGAGCUUAACUCGGAAACUGCCAUUGAUACUAUAGGUCUUGAAUUAUCUGGAGGUGAGCGGAAUAUGUCAUGUAGCGGUGAAAUGCGUAGAUAUCUGGAGGAACACCGGGUGGCGAAGGCGGCAUCCUGGACCAACACUGACGCUGAGUGAGCGAAAGCCAGGGGAGGCAAACGGG